rnacentral:misc_RNA from 1 species
GGGUUCGAUUAUGGCUCAGAUUGAACGCUGGCCCGGGAUGCUUUACACAUGCAGAGUCAGAACGGCAACACGGACUUCGGUCUGGUGGCGAGUGGCGAACGGGUGAGUAAUGUAUCGGAACGUGCCUGGUAGCGGGGGAUAACUACGCGAAAGCGUAGCUAAUACCACAUACGCCCUUCGGGGGAAAGCCUUGAGGACCUUGCCGGGCCUCGCACUAAUGAAACGGCCGAUAUCGGAUUGGCUAGUUGGUGGGGUAACGGCUCACCAAGGCGACGAUCCGUAGCUGGUUUGAGAGGACGACCAGC